AGCUUACGCGCACUCUCAGGUGUCCGAGGCCCGCGCAGAUGGGCCAGGAUGAAACGGGAAGUCGGUGCGCUCCGGAUGGAGCCAGUCCGACGCUGCCCCCGCAACGGUGAUCGAGUCGAGGGUUCGCCAUAAGCCACUGUGCCUGGCACGGGAAGGCGGCGACCCGAAGCGUCAAUGCUUGCUCGUCAGCCCGGAGACCGGCCUGGGAACGCAUGCCUGG
rfam:Halomonas elongata DSM 2581, complete genome